rnacentral:piRNA from 1 species
CUAAGGAAAAGAGGACACGGCCUCAG